AUGCUUACUUAGGCAGCAUGUAUACUAAAUUUGAAAUGAUAGAGAAGCCUGGCAUGCCCCUUGCAUAAGGAUAAUAUGCAAAUUCAUGAAGCAUUCCUUAUUUCA